rnacentral:rRNA from 1 species
GAUGAACGCUAGCUACAGGCUUAACACAUGCAAGUCGAGGGGAAACGACAUCGAAAGCUUGCUUUUGAUGGGCGUCGACCGGCGCACGGGUGAGUAACGCGUAUCCAACCUGCCCACCACUUGGGGAUAACCUUGCGAAAGUAAGACUAAUACCCAAUGACGUCUCUAGAAGUCAUCUGAAAGAGAUUAAAGAUUUAUCGGUGAUGGAUGGGGAUGCGUCUGAUUAGCUUGUUGGCGGGGUAACGGCCCACCAAGGCAACGAUCAGUAGGGGUUCUGAGAGGAAGGUCCCCCACAUUGGAACUGAGACACGGUCCAAACUCCUACGGGAGGCAGCAGUGAGGAAUAUUGGUCAAUGGACGAGAGUCUGAACCAGCCAAGUAGCGUGCAGGAAGACGGCCCUAUGGGUUGUAAACUGCUUUUAUAAGGGAAUAAAGUUAGUCUCGUGAGACUUUUUGCAUGUACCUUAUGAAUAAGGACCGGCUAAUUCCGUG